rnacentral:rRNA from 1 species
GACAGAGGUGCCGAGCGUUAGGCGGAAUCACUGGGCUUAAAGCGUGUGUAGGCGGGCGGGCAAGUACCUUGUGAAAUCCCACGGCUCAACCGUGGAACGGCUGGGUAUACUGCGGGUCUUGAGCCACCUAGGGGCAAGUGGAACAAACGGUGGAGCGGUGAAAUGCGUAGAUAUCGUUUGGAACGCCAAUGGUGAAAACAACUUGCUGGGGGUGUGCUGACGCUGAGACACGAAAGCCAGGGGAGCAAACGGG